UCAUUUUCCGGUCUCCUUCUUCUCUGCAUUUUCGAUUCCUCUACUCUUCUUUUCCAACGGGUAAACUCCGUCCUUCCUUUUGUUUACUUCUCUCAAUCUGCCGGAGGUGGAGCCUUUUCAGAGCGAUUCUUCGGCGUAAAGAACCGAUCCAACAGUGUGGAUGGAGUUGCAUCGUUGAUCUUCUCGCUGAGGUCAUGUGAAAACAUGCUGUGGAAAACCGGUGAUCGUGAAGCAAGAAUAGCACGAUGAGCUCCAACGCUUCCAUCAGAAGCAUUAAUUAUAAUAUCCGUGUGGAUGCUUUCCUUCAACAUUCGACCCAACGAAAUAAGAGCUCGUUCAUUUGAUCGUUUUUGUGACAGUCCAUUAGUCCAGAUGGAGGAAGGUUCCCCACCCUGUUAGUAAUUUGACAACAAUGGGUUAAAAGAGGAGUGAAACAAAAGAGAACGAGAAUGAAAUUACCUGGAUGAGUCCAAGCCUUCCGACCUCCUGCAGAGGAAACCACUCGGAUGGUGAAAGAUACAAUUGGG